AGAGUUUGAUCCUGGCUCAGAACGAACGCUGGCGGCAGGCUUAACACAUGCAAGUCGAACGGAUCCUUCGGGAUUAGUGGCGCACGGGUGAGUAACACGUGGGAACGUACCCCUUGGUAAGGAAUAAUAUCUGGAAACGGAUACUAAUACCUUAUAAUGACUUCGGUCCAAAGAUUUAUCGCCAAGGGAUCGGCCCGCGUCUGAUUAGGUAGUUGGUGGGGUAAUGGCCUACCAAGCCUACGAUCAGUAGCUGGUCUGAGAGGAUGAUCAGCCACACUGGGACUGAGACACGGCCCAGACUCCUACGGGAGGCAGCAGUGAGGAAUAUUGGACAAUGGGGGAAACCCUGAUCCAGCCAUGCCGCGUGAGUGAAGAAGGCCUUAGGGUUGUAAAGCUCUUUCAAUGGUGAAGAUAAUGACGGUAGCCAUAGAAGAAGCCCCGGCUAAAUUCGUGCCAGCAGCCGCGGUAAUACGAAUGGGGCAAGCGUUGUUCGGAAUCACUGGGCUUAAAGCGUGCGCAGGCGGAUUUGCAAGUCAGAAGUGAAAUCCUUGGGCUCAACCCAAGAAUUGCUUUUGAAACUGCAUAUCUAGAAUCCGGUAGAGGUUGGGAGAAUUCCUAGUGUAGAGGUAAAAUUCGCAGAUAUUAGGAGGAAUACCAGUGGCGAAGGCGCCCAACUGGGCCGGUAUUGACGCUCAUGUACGAAAGCGUGGGGAGCAAACAGGAUUAG
rnacentral:rRNA from 1 species